UGGGGAAUAUUGCACAAUGGGCGGAAGCCUGAUGCAGCGACGUCGCGUGAGGGAUGGAGGCCUUCGGGUUGUGAACCUCUUUCGCCAGUGAGGAAGGCCUUGCCUGUGUGGUGGGGUUGACGGUAGCUGGGUUAAUUGAAGCGCCGGCUAACUACGUGCCAGCAGCCGCGGUAAUACGUAGGGCGCGAGCGUUGUCCGGAAUUAUUGGGCGUAAAGGGCUUGUAGGCGGUUGGUCGCGUCUGCCGUGAAAUCCUCUGGCUCAGCUGGGGGCGUGCGGUGGGUACGGGCUGGCUUGAGUGCGGUAGGGGAGGCUGGAACUCCUGGUGUAGCGGUGGAAUGCGCAGAUAUCAGGAGGAACACCGGUGGCGAAGGCGGGUCUCUGGGCCGUUACUGACGCUGAGGAGCGAAAGCGUGGGGAGCGAACA
rnacentral:rRNA from 1 species